CGUCAACAACUCCCCCAAGCUUACCUCUUGCUCGUCCCUGAGCAAGGAUGGACUCAAGAGUUUCUGCAGUGAUUUUAUGCCUUAAAGGUACACAUGUGUUCAAACAAGAUCUCAUCUCUAGGUUAGGGUAAAUUGUUAAGAUUUAAAACUUACUCAUAUUACCUUUCACCAUGGGGCUUGCAACCGUCACUUGUGUCUUGAGCAGUUAAAAGAUAGAACGGUCAAGUCAAGCACCAUAUCUCUUGUUCUUUGAUCAACUAUAACUCUGGAGUUUUUGUAGAUUUUUAAAUAAAACUCAGAGAUUCCUUGUAUGACUCUCUCAAUUCUCUCUUUUGUGGUAUUUCUGGAUCCUUACCAAGGCAGUGAUGAUAUAUGCCUUCUCUCAAAGCAUGUGGUAUUUUUGGUAUGAGGCAUAGUGACAUUGCCCUUCUCUCUCACCCUACUCUAAUGAGGCUUGAUAUCUGGAGCUCAUAGGUGGGAGACAACUAAUACAUACUUACAAGACAUUUAUUUCAUAGUCAAACCAUGGAUCCAGAGAAACAAGUCAAUAAGUCAAAUCAAGAUGUGCAUGUGUGGCGAAUGAAUGGUGUAUGGUGAUAAUGAUGAAAACAAUGGUGAAAGUCUAAUUCUACGUUUGCUCUUUCGAGGGGAUACAUACCUUUCUUGCACUUUGAAGUUUGAGGGGAAUGAGAUGCUCUAUAUUUUCUUUUUCUUUUCUCUCAGGUGGGUAUCUUGUAUCCCUAAUUCUACUAUCGGACACUUGUCCAUUUUUACCUCUAGUCUCACUUUCUCUUUUCUUUGAGGUUCUGGGCACUUGCCCCUUUUUAUUUCCUCGUAUUUUUCUCUUUUUUUUCAGAGCACUCACCCUCUUAGAAUAAUGUAGCAAGUGGUAGUAACCAAAAUAUCAAGAGCAUUUAUUUCACGGGGAAUAACAGGGAUAGGAUAAUGUUUUUGGCUAUUCUCUCCUGGAUAGGAGUAGAAUAAUUUUAGGUGAAUCUAGAGAUGGAAAGGAGUGGAUGUAUGUGGAUGCAUACUUCCGGAGUAGAAGCAGCAUGUUUGAGUGAACGUGUAAGUGAAUCUUGAUUUUAACCGCAUGACAAGCUCCUAGGGUCUACACAGCUUGACCACACUCAAUGCUCAUAAGCAGUAAAAAGUACAUGUAUUGUUCAUAGUCUAAUAAGCAUGUAUAUAUAGCUGUGGUAGGAUUUUAAACUCUCAUCAUACAGGAACUCAUCAUGCAACAUUUUAAAGAUUUUCAAAGAUAAAAUUCUCCAAAAUUCUAGCAUCUCUAGGAACAGAUAAACAGUAGCUCAAACUUCCCAUAUCAUAUAUGUUAACGACUUAGACUUUAGAUCAAGCACUCUUCCCACAAGUUUAGGUUUAGAGAAAAUCUUAAUUCAUAACAGUCAUACCUAAACUUGAGAGAGAUUUCAAUUUUGAGAACUAGUCAUGGCAGAGCAACUAUUCAUUAUUUCCGUGUGAGAGCUUAUCAUGAGGGUUCAUAGCAAACUUUAUUUAUUUAUUUAUUUAGCAAACUAAGCAAAGAUAUAUAUAUAUAAGCACAACAUCUUUAUUUGGAUUUUUAUGAUUAUGCAUCUUUUUAUUAUUUGAGUAAAGUAUAAACGUGAGUAGAAAUACUUAGCUGGAUAAAUGGGGGUGCUCUCCCCCAAGCUGGAUUUUGACGUAAUUUCUUCUGAUGUAGCUAGCAGGUAGCGGAGGUGUAUUUGAAUGUCGGUAGCAUCCUGACAGCGAUUAGGAUGUCCUCCGUCUGCUAGUCUUCUUUGGUCCUUGAAUUCUGUGGAGCUCAAAUAGACAACAAAGCUUUGUGGAACUGGUUAAGUGUUAGCAUAAAAAUCUCUUUGCCUUUAUCAUGUUGAGCUUCCUCUAAUAAAUAUUACUCUCUUUGGUAGGAUCAUAAGUUUAUUUUUAUAUUUUCAUUUUCAUAGGACAGGAAUAUAUUUAUUUUAUUUUUUUACGCCGCCACAGUGAAUGUACUUAUGGGUUUUAUACCACGAGCAUACUCGCAUGGGGCUUACUAUUUUAUGAUGCAGUGCAAUGAACAAAUAUUUUUGUUUUCUUUUCUAAUGCUAAUGUAGAAAAGUAAAUAUGCUAAUGCAAGUGAUGGAAUAAAAAAGGAAAAGGAAUGCAGAAAAGAUAAAUAUGGAUAAAUACUGAUUUUACCUUCCGGCAAGGAUCCAAUGUUUUAAGUCUUCUGGACAAGACUUCUCACCGUGUUCAUUCUUUGGGUGCGUCAUUUGAUUCAGGUGUGGACCUUGACGUUUGCACCUCUUGAUAUGGUGUCACCCAUGUUCUUCGUUUGCCUAGCAGUUCAAAGUGUGGCGUUGGCAGUAUCUUGCUUAGUGUGUUUGUGCUCGUAGUGUACCUGCUCAUAGAGACAAAGCAGAGAUCAAGUGCAUGGGCCCUGUUGGUGGAAAACACCAACAUAACCAAAAGUGUAUUUGUUCUUAUCUAACCUUAAGCAUAGUGAGCAAGACAAAUUUGAUGGAUAAUAAGUUCAUGCGUGUAGCAUUUAAAACAUUUGUCAGAUCAGAUUGAUUCAACCUUAUGGAAAGAUAAUCUAUCUAUGUAUAUGUCUUUUUCUUUAUAUCUCUCAAAGAUUGAAUGUGUAACAUUUUAGCUCAUAUGGUUAGGAGUGUGGGGAUCAAAGAUUAAAGGACUAAACAUGCUGAAUCAGUGGGGUUGGUUAAUUUGGAGUUAUAAAUCAUACAUGUUUGUCCCUUUUAUUCAUAUGAACGCCAGAACCAAUGAGAAGCUUAUAAAAGUGAUAGUCAAGUACCUUAAGGUGUUACUUUAAUUGAAGAGUGAUGGUACAGUCUCACCUUGUGGAAGCUUUCCUUUCUUAGCGGUUGUGCAUCGUGUUUGUGGCACCCUCCAUGGAUCAUCUCUUAUGAGCUACGUCUUCCUUGUGUAAAUUGUUAAAUUUGAUGUGUCUCUCUCUUUGUCUCCAAUGUGAGUUUAUCUCUGGACUUCCC
rnacentral:lncRNA from 1 species